rnacentral:lncRNA from 1 species
UCUUUUAUCUUUAUAACAUUAUUAUACAAAUUUACCUUUAUAUUAAAUGUAAGUUGGAUGUGGACAUUGUCCUGAUGGACUCAAAUUCUUUAUUAUAAAGAAAAUCAAAUAUUUAUACCCAAGAGACAAUCUUAAUUACUAAUUUGAAAUAGCAAAAACUCUACUUUUUAGAUUCAUUCAAUAACAGAUAUAUUUGGUCUAUAAUAUAGGUCAGAUACAUUUGUUAUUUAAUGAAUCUAAAAAGUUAAUUUUUGCUUAUAAUUAAGAAUGAAUAAAGUAUAUUUUACCUUUAAAAAGACUACCUUAAGCAAUCUCGACCGUCAAAAAUAAGUAACUGGGUAGCAUAUAUGCUUCCUUUAUGUGACAUAUAAAAAGAAAAAGGGCUGAGUUGGUCAUCUUUGUUUCACAUUGUUAAUUUGUAGUAUUGAUUAAUUAAUUGAUUGGUUCCAUGUGAAAGGGAAUUAGAAUAUAUCUUACGUUUGUACCAAAAAAAGAAGAAUAUAUCUUACGUUUCUUUUUCUUCCAAAAUUUAGACGGUGAAAGGGAUUUUCUUCUUGAAUGUUACAUGAGUGGAGGUCCUUUUAUUUCCAUCUCCAUAUCAUAAAUUAUUGGCGCCAUAUUUGGGGAAGGGAUGGCCCUGCUUCUUUAAUUUUUUUUUAAUGUUACUUUUUCUUCUUUUUAGAUAAGUAUAACUUCAUUUUAUUUUCAUUUUCAUUAUUAUAAUGACCUCAUUAUUUUUCUAUAUCUUGCAUACAUAUGGACAUUAUUCUUUGGUCCCACGUGGCCAAUGUUUUGCGUUUGGUGUUCAUAUUAAGAGAAUCCAUGAUAUCA